GUUUCUGUGUCAUUGUUGCGGUAGAUGUGAGGUGUUAUCUUAGUCACACUGUGGCCCUCUCUCCCUCUCUCUCUGACACGGUCUGGGUUUGAAGCUGAAAGGAGGACUUCCUGGAGCUGGAUGAGGUCACCAAAGGGAGAGCAGCACUGCCACAGGAAGAGAAGAAGGACGCCUUAGUGGAGAUCCAGGACUUGACCUGCUACUGGGACAAGGUCUGGUACCAUGUUGUGCUCGCUGGCACACAGCUCUAGUAACACCCUCAUGUCAACUUACAAUCUAAAAAGAACAAACAUAACAAACAUAACAAACUUUGUUCCUUCAGUUGACAAUGUGGCACAUAUGAAACUUGAUUUCCAAAUGGCAAGAAAACAGGUCCCACAAGUUGUCUUAAAAUGACACAUGUUCUGAUCUGAGGCAUGAUCUUCAACAAAAAUAAACAACUUGAACCUUUA